ACGCAAUGCCCGGGAAGCCUUACCACAGCCUCCAGACGCACGUCACACUACCGCUACCAGACCGCCGCUACCGGAGAGACGCAGUCAUCCGACCACCGACUGCAGCCUCUUACCUCACAACCACUUGAAAAAAAAAAAUCUGUUCACACCUCCGGCUGUUCGUCUCCUUUCUCGGUCCGGCGUAAAGAGUGUUGCAGCACCCCGCACCCCACCGUGACAGAAAUCACAAAUACCCACGUACAGCAGAAAUCAACCACGCCUUUGCGCAACUUCUGUACAGAAAAUUCUUGUGUUCAAGAGUGGCAUUUGGAAUGAUAAAGACUUUGGUCCAUCCUUGCAAAGCAUUGCAAUUCCCUGUGGGAAAGAUUCAAGGGCCUGUGGGAAAGAUUCAAGGGCCUAAGCAAUUAAGGUCCAAAGAACCUAAGAUGGAGCUCACUCUAGCACAACCUGAUGACUGGCAUCUUCACCUUCGCGAUGGUGAUCUUCUUGAAGCUGUUGUCUCUCACAGCGCAAGUCACUUUGGAAGGGCGAUAGUGAUGCCAAAUCUGAAUCCCCCCAUCACAACCACAGCUGCUGCUGUGGCUUAUCGAGAAUCAAUCUUGAAACUUCUGCCUGCCAAUAGCAACUUCACUCCGCUUAUGACACUUUAUUUGACAGAUACGACAAGUCCAAUAGAGAUCAAGCUUGCAAGAAGAAGUGGGGCUGUUUUUGCUGUGAAGUUGUACCCUGCUGGUGCUACAACAAAUUCUCAAGAUGGAGUUACGGAUCUUUUUGGGAGAUGCCUACCUGUCCUUGAGGAGAUGGUUGAACAGAAUAUGCCUUUGUUGGUUCAUGGGGAGGUUACAAAUCCUGAUGUUGACAUAUUUGAUCGUGAGAAGGUCUUCAUUGAAACUGUUUUAGAACCUUUAGUCCAGAGGCUUCCGCAACUGAAGGUAGUGAUGGAACACAUCACCACCAUGGAUGCUGUUAGGUUUGUUGAGUCCUCCAAAGAAGGAUCUGUAGCUGCAACUGUUACCCCACAGCAUCUUCUUCUCAAUAGAAAUGCCCUCUUUCAAGGGGGAUUGCAGCCGCAUAAUUACUGCCUUCCAGUACUCAAGAGGGAGAUCCACAGACAGGCUAUUGUUGCCGCUGUGACUAGUGGAAGUAAUAGAUUUUUCCUCGGAACUGAUAGUGCUCCUCAUGAGAGACGAAGAAAAGAGUGCCCUUGUGGAUGUGCUGGUAUAUUCAAUGCUCCAGUUGCCCUAUCACUAUAUGCAAAGGUCUUUGAAGAGGUAGGUGCGCUUGACAAGCUAGAGGCAUUUACAAGCUUCAAUGGACCAGACUUCUAUGGGCUUCCAAGAAGCACAUCAAAAAUAAAAAUGGUCAGGACUCCAUGGAAGGUACCGGAGUCUUUCUCCUUUUCAUUUGGAGAUAUCAUUCCAAUGUUUGCGGGCGAAACACUUGAAUGGCGGCCAUCCUCCAAUUGAUACAAAUUUGUACUACCAGACAAUGACUUUGCUCCUUCACUCUCAAGGAUCUUGUCUCUCUUCGGCUUCUGCAUCUCAGAUGGAUGAAGAAAAUCGUACAACAGUUUUCGCCAUAGUUGCAUCUAUCCUUGAUGUGCGAUGAGAAGGUUGCAAGAGCAUUUUUGGGAAAUAAUGUUAGAUUUAGAAAGAUUUGGUUGGACAAAUUCUUCAGCAACCACAGAGAUUAGAACUUGCGAAUGAUCCAUAUGUAGUAGAAUACUAACUUGAUUGUAAUAUUUGUGAUUAAGCUUGAAUGGUAAUAUUUAUGAUUGAACUUUUGUCGGUA